ACCGCAGUGCUGGGGAAGUAGGUAUAAUGUGUCUCAGCAGCUGUUCCUUCUGUGUCUACCGCAUCCUCACUGGUGAAAGCACCCUGGAUCACCGCCUGGGAAGAGGAGUAAGAGAACAGAGUCCAGUGACAGUCAGAGACACAGCCUCUCCUAUGUAAUUCAGGCUGGCCUGGAACUCUUCGUGAUCCUCCUGUCUCAGCUUCUCCCAUGCUCCAGGCAAACACCUCCACCACCAGCCCCACCCAUUCUGAUGUUAAGGAUUGCCCUGUGGGGACUGAUAACUACAGCUGUACAAAUAGUGCUCUUCACCUCUCUUCGGUAACCACUCCAACUUCUCAUGGAGAGGGGAUACUUACACUAGAAGACUGAGAAACAACAUAUUUUUGGAAAGACUGAUACUAGACUACUAUUACCAAAAAAUACAGGGCCCCAGCCAGGGCCUCCUGGUGAGUACAAGACCAUCCUGAAUUACAAUGGUGAGACUCUGUAUCAAAAACAAACAAAAACCCUUGGCUCAUAAACACUAAUGCUUCUUCCAGUUUUUUUCAGACACAAAACAUACAGCAAUGUCUUGCUCUUGGGCCCCAUCUUAGUGACAGGAAUCUUGUUUUGGGAUUUCAGCUUUAGAGCAUCUAUUAGAGACCCUAAAGCCCAAGUGCAUGGCAUUUGGGCCUCCUCUAUUUUAUUCCAGUCGGCCAGUAGAAAUGUAGAGCAACACAGCUGCUAAAAUCUACAGAACUGGCAACACAGUUGCUAAAAUGUUGCCAUGACAACUCCAAGUCAAUCGAACCUCUGCAAGAAAGGAAAAAACACCAGGCUCAGGAUCCUGUCGAAGAAAAGACAAUAGAGGAAGAAUCCAUCUACAAGGUGCCUGCCAUAGGACCCUGACACCCAGCCAGAGGACAAGAAAAACAAAGGGCUGAGCUGACAGAGGCCUCCAGAAUGAUGCACUGUAUAAAAUGGAUACAAUGCACAAUGUAAAACACACAGUUGCUACACUGUACAAAACUAUAACAUCCCGACAGGAAAGAGGCAAGACUUCUGUAAAUUCUCUACCAGUAAGGUCCCUCAAAUCUUUUUAUCCAAGAAAAAUUUUAGCGGUUAAGCCUUGGAAAGCCCGCGUCCAAGAAAAAUAGUGACAACAAUAACAAAAAGGAACUGAAAGUGAAACUAUCUGCGGGAAGUAACGCCGCAAGGAGACUCCCGUCCCUGAGGGGAAGUACUGUAGCGCCAGGGUUAGGGGACCACCUUCAUCUCCAUCCUCAAAGUGUUCUUUGGGGCUGGCUGCGCCGACUGCAGGAGAAGGCAAUGAAAGAGAGGUUGGGCACAGGAGGCAUCACUGUCUCCCACAGCUGUCAGGCAGAGUCUGCCUCCUAGGACACCCCACAACCGGGUCAGGCUACUUAUUCAAAUCUUAGUUGGACAUCCGGAAACAUUUCCUGAGCAUAUGUGACACGGAAAUCAGGCUAGGAUGUUGUGGUUUGCAUGUUCGCGCAAGGAGGGCCCACCUAGAGCCCUUGCUAAAUCUGGACACAAAGAGGGGAAAUCAAGUCCCGAAAGAAUUUAGGGGCCCAGACCUUGCCUCAAAGUGCGGCGUCCCUCUGCAGGCCCGGCACGCAAGAGGAGCCCGGGAAGCUGAGCCCCGGCUGGCGCGAGCCCCGGAACCCGCGACCAGAUCCGGCCCGGCCAGCGGCGCCCGCCGCAAGUCCCAAUUGCUCCACCGAGGCGGCAGUGAAGGACGCUGGGGGCCGGGAGCCCCGCGGCCGGGCAGCGCGUAAGGGCGGGGAUGUGCGCGUCCGGCCCACAAAGCGGGUGGGAGAUAAAGAAAGGGGCACAGCCCCCUGCUCCAAAACAAAGGCUUCGUCCCUAAGAGUUGCCAAACCCCGAAAACAGAAGUAAAAACAAAGCCACCCUGCCGGUCCGCCCGCCCGGUCCUCCCGCCUCUAGAACCCUGCGGGGUCCCGCACUCACAGGACACAGCUACUCCGGCCGCUGAUUUCCCCCGACAGCGUUCUCCCUCUCCCGACCUGGUUAUCUCCAUAGACAACUGCUCAUGCGCACUCCCAGCUCGCGGCCAUGUUUGUGAGGGGCGGAAGUGUCUCCGCCUCCCGCCCUGCCCACUCACAGCCUCCGAGCAGCCCUACUUCCGCUCGUUCCGCGUUGAUGAGGGUUGAAGGAUGCGUAGGUGUGCGGUGUUCGUGUGUCAGGCAUGGGGCUCUGUGGUGCUGAAAAGAAGCUGUAUUCUGGGAGGUGUCCAUUUCUGGCAAGAACGAGAAGAAAAAUGAGUAGUUUGGACUUCAAUCUUUGUGUUAAGCAGGUCCUUUUUAAUUACAAGAAAAGGGAGUGAGGGAAGCCAGUUGAAAUCGAAGGAGGAACUGCCAGCGGUGGCGCCAUCUUUAACAAGGACUACAGUGUUUGGGUGAUCAUUUUGGAUCAGGGCAUCAUUUUGAAGGGUUUCCAGCUAAAAAUGAGGAUGUAUCAGGGCAUACUUUGAUUUGAGCAUAUGCUUUUGUAUUAGUGUCAUCAGAGACCCAGAGCUUCCAAGGUUUCUGAGUCUUGCACUUUCUUUGAGAUGAACCUUGAUUGCCAAUUUGUUAGUGAUUGGUUGGUUUUUUGAGUCAGGGUCUUGUUAUGCAGUUUAAGCUGGGCGGGCCUCAGCCUCCCGGUUUGGUGUGCAUCAGCCUCUCAUAUGCUAGGAUUAUUGGCGUGCACAACCGCUCCCGGUUUUGAUUCUGACUCAAAAUGUACCCCUAAUGGAUUUGGAGUAGUAUAGUAUAAUAGAAACAGUUCAGAUGUUGGGAUUGGAUAAAGCCUAAUCUCAAAUCUUCCUCACACUUCUUAUCUUUCAGAUAUUUGACAUUCAUUUUGACUUAGUUAAACCUUAGUUUCGUCAUCUGUAAAAUGUACAGAAUUGUUACAUGGAUUAAAUGAAGUAAAAGGCAA